GACGAACGCUGGCGGCGUGCUUAACACAUGCCAGUCGAACGGAAAGGCCCUGCUUUUGUGGGGUGCUCGAGUGGCGAACGGGUGAGUAACACGUGAGUAACCUGCCCUUGACUUUGGGAUAACUUCAGGAAACUGGGGCUAAUACCGGAUAGGAGCUCCUGCUGCAUGGUGGGGGUUGGAAAGUUUCGGCGGUUGGGGAUGGACUCGCGGCUUAUCAGCUUGUUGGUGGGGUAGUGGCUUACCCAGGCUUUGACGGGUAGCCGGCCUGAGAGGGUGACCGGCCACAGUGGGACUGGGAUACGGCCCAGACGCCUACGGGAGGCAGGAGUGGGGAAUAUUGCACAAUGGGUGGAAGCCUGAUGCAGCAACGCCGCGUGCGGGAUGACGGCCUUCGGGUUGUAAACCGCUUUCGCCUGUGACGAAGCGUGAGUGACGGUAAUGGGUAAAGAAGCACCGGCUAACUACGU
rnacentral:rRNA from 1 species